ensembl:lncRNA
UUAAAAAGAAAUCAGUUAAGCCAUGCACUUUCAGGAGAGGCCAAGCGGGUGCCAAUCAAACUCCAAUCCGUCUCCCCUGCAGAUCAAUGCAACUGACAUUCUGCGCCGAUAAGAUGGAGAAGAGGUCGGAGAGUGACAGACAUUAGCUGACCUCUUCCUGAAGCAGCCAAUACAAUCACACAAGCACAGUCCCAUCAGCCAGAAUAACAAUCAGGGAUGUAGAGGUUGAUGGCCCCUCUGCAAUGAAGAUUUCUUUUACAAUAUCGGAGUAGCUGAUUCAGGCCUUAUCCAUUCUUGUCAUGAUCAAGACCACCUCAUCACCUCAACAUCUCAGCUUGUAGGAAUUGUAUAACGUAACAAACCGCAACUCCACACCUUUGGCUGCAUCCUUUUAUCAUCGAUCCAUCCAAAAAGACGGACGUCCCUCUGAUGAACCCGUCGGUGGUCGUCCUCGAGGAGGACCAAUUUACUGAGUCUGUGCACAAAGCGGGUUCCAGCAGACCAAAUCUGAGUGGUCCAUGUGAUAAACAGACAUUAGUUUAGUUACAUUGAGGCCAGACUUUGUAUUAACAGUCCUACGCUGAAUUCUGUUGGCUUUAAAAUUAUUUAAAGUGGCAUAAUAAUAAUAAUUUGAAUACUAAUGUCUGUCCGAGUCACUGUCUUUCUCUGGAG